AGAAUUGACCACUGAUGGAAUUCCAGCAGUCAAUGGACUUACACAAGGGAUGAACAUGACCCAUUACCAGUCUGCAGCUCUGUACCUCAAAACCCAGAGGAGCCUGUCCUUCUUGGCCUCCGAUCACAGAAGAUUCUCAGUUUUCCUGUAACAGUUGUGGAAGAUACUUUGCUCAUAGGAUGGUGGUGAUGCACAAAUGCUAGCCACUGGAAGAAGUGUGGGAUCACUCGUAUGUCAGGUCGCUGGAACCAGGCCUGCCAGAGGAUGUUUACCUGUCCAUGGCCAGAUGUUCUGGACAGCAGAAAGCCACAUUGGGAUAAAGACUGAGGAAGAAAGGACAGGAUCAGAAAACAAUGUCAGGAGAAUAGACAGA